rnacentral:piRNA from 1 species
AGCCUGUGAGAUUUUCUUGAGCCAA